rnacentral:tRNA from 1 species
UUAAAAGGACCUGAAAGGACUUAUUUUCGACAUAAGCUUAUAUCAAUUUGAUACUUUUAAA